UACGGAGGGUGCAAGCGUUGUUCGGAAUCAUUGGGCGUAAAGCGCACGUAGGCGGGUUUGCAAGUCGAUUGUGAAAUCCCUGGGCUUAACCCGGGAAUGGCAGUCGAAACUGCAAGUCUUGAAUGCUCGAGAGGAUGGUGGAAUUCCUGGAGUAGUAGUGAAAUACGUAGAUAUCAGGAGGAACACCGGAGGCGAAGGCGGCCAUCUGGCGAGACAUUGACGCUAAAGUGCGAAAGCGUGGGUAGCAAACAGG
rnacentral:rRNA from 1 species